rnacentral:rRNA from 1 species
GAUGAACGCUGGCGGCGUGCUUAACACAUGCAAGUCGAACGAAGCACUUUAUUUGAUUUCCUUCGGGACUGAUUAUUUUGUGACUGAGUGGCGGACGGGUGAGUAACGCGUGGGUAACCUGCCUUGUACAGGGGGAUAACAGUUGGAAACGGCUGCUAAUACCGCAUAAGCGCACAGCAUCGCAUGAUGCAGUGUGAAAAACUCCGGUGGUAUAAGAUGGACCCGCGUUGGAUUAGCUAGUUGGUGAGGUAACGGCCCACCAAGGCGACGAUCCAUAGCCGACCUGAGAGGGUGACCGGCCACAUUGGGACUGAGACACGGCCCAAACUCCUACGGGAGGCAGCAGUGGGGAAUAUUGCACAAUGGGCGAAAGCCUGAUGCAGCGACGCCGCGUGAGAGAAGAAGUAUUUCGGUAUGUAAAGCUCUAACAGCAGGGAAGAUAAUGACGGUACCUGACUAAGAAGCACCGGCUAAAUACGUG